rnacentral:lncRNA from 1 species
UUCACUCUGGACAGACGGCACAAGCCCCUGGGAAGCACCCAGCCUUCUCUGCACCUGUGUAAUGGUAAACAAAAGGCCUGACUUCUGAGCAGCGAUUUUCAAUUAACAAUGCAUCAGAUUUCACUCUAUCCCAGCACCCCACUGAAACCUCCAGUGCAGAUAUUUUAAUAAAAUAAGACACACAAGAAUAGGGAAAAUGAGAGACAAAAACCAACAAACAAAAACAUGGGAGCAGAAGAAGAAAUUGAUUAUGUGAUAGCUGGCUUUAAAACCUGAGAAGACCAAAUCUUGACCUUGCAGUGAGAAUACAGAGGAUUCUUCAAACAAGCCAGGAAUUUUUGACCUUGCAGUGAGAAUACAGAGGAUUCUUCAAACAAGGCAGGAAUGCCCAUUCGACUUUCCCCAAUGGCUCUGCAUAAGAGGAACCAACAGAGAUCCUUUCCUGAGACCUAAGGAGGCAAAAGCUAGGUGGCAACCAAAGAUUUCAGAGGAGGAAGCAGUCCAAGAUUCCUUUAUAGAAAACUCUCAACCUAUGGCAUCAAUUUUGGACCAAGACGUGGCCAUCUGCCUUCCUAAAUGCCCCUAAAUGACAGCUGAGCUCCUCAAUAGCCUUCAUUGCUCCUGAUCUUUCACCCCUGCAGGGAAGCGUCUGGCAGCACACUCAAUGUCCAAUGCCCACUGGGCUGACCCAGAAGCAAAUUUUGUGUCAGCUCCUCCAGCCCACCAUGGAUCAUCCUGGGAGCUGUCUUCAGAUGGUCAACAUUGAAAUGAGAACUAUUUUGACUAAUCUGCUCGGAAUAAAAUGAGAAAAACAGUUCAUGCUGAACUACUCAUAUGUGGAGGUGAUGAACAUAUGUUUCUAAUUUUGAGCUGAGAGAAAAGCAAAAAUAAACAAAUUUAACAAAUCUUAGUUCUUGACAACCACUCACAGAAUAGUUCAGCUAAGAAAUAAACAUAUGGUUCAGGGAAUAAAGAAACUGCCUGGCUCGGUGUGGAAAUGACACUUCUAGACUCAGAGUUUCAUGACUGCAGUGAGCUCAUUUCUUCUGUAAUUAGGGUCAAGACUUGAACUUUUCCUGUGGAUUUUCCCAUCAGAAGACUGGUGCCAUUUAUCCAUUUAGGUGAGCACUAUAAGGACAUUGCUUCAUAUCACGCUUCAAGAGUGAUGAGUUUCACAAGGAGAUUGCAUGUCUCCUCAGAGCUGGCCCGUCUGUAUGUGAUCAGGUGGGAGAAUUUGCUUCAGUAAGUGGAGUGUGAUGGGACAGGGGUGUUAAGUGCCCCCUGAGGAAGUGUUGGCUCUAAGAAGAGAAGAAGUUUGGCCAUGAUGAUGCUUGGCCUCUUUUCCAGCCAUGUCUCAGUCAACCCUAGCUGCUGGGAAAAUUAUCACCGACUGGUAAACAGCAAACAUUUAUUUCUCGCAGUUCCGGAGACUGGAAGUCUGAGAUCAGAGUGCCAGCGUGGUCAGCUUCUGGUGAAGCCCCUCUUGUGCCCCACAUGGCAGUGAGAAAGUGAGCUGGCUCCAGGUCCUCUUUUCGUAAGGGCACUCAUCCACUUAUGAGGCUCCACUCUCAUGACCUAAUUACCUCCCAAAGGCCCCACCUCCAAGUAUGAUCACAUGGGGGACUCGAUUUCAACAUAUGAGUUUUGGGGGACACAAACUUUUAGUCUGCAACAAGACAGGAUUGUCUUACUAUGAUCAGACUGUGGGUGAUUUACUUCGUUUCUUGACACAUCUGUUUUUAUUCUUAAGCCUGUAUACAUAGAUAGUACUUACUGUUUUACAAGAAUCCAGUUUUUCCUUGCAUGGUAAUUUAUUUUUAAAAGCACUGUUUUAAGGUUUCUGUGAUGAGCUAAAGGCAUCUAACUGAAUCCAGAAUAUACUGUCAACUUUAGUGUCUCAGGUCGUGUAUUGUGAAGGAAAAGGUGCCACACGCUUGACACUGGUCUUGGUGCAACCUCAAUCGCAACAUGUGAAUCCCAAGGGAGUUUCUUCCUCUCCAAAAGCCUCUGCUUCCCCAUCUUUUUUUUUUUUUUUUUCUGAGACAGAGUCUCGCUGUGUCACCCAGGCUGGAGUGCAGUGGCGCAAUCUCGUCUUGCUGCAACCUCCAUCUCCUAGGUUCAAGUGAUUCUCCUGCCUCAGCCUCCUGAGUAGAUGGGGUUACAGGUGCGUGCCACCAUGC